rnacentral:rRNA from 1 species
UACGGGGGGAGCAAGCGUUGUUCGGAUUUACUGGGCGUAAAGGGCGCGUAGGCGGUCAGCACAAGUCAGUUGUGAAAUCUCCGGGCUUAACUCGGAAAGGUCAACUGAUACUGUGCGACUAGAGUGCGGAAGGGGCAACUGGAAUUCUUGGUGUAGCGGUGAAAUGCGUAGAUAUCAAGAGGAACACCUGCGGCGAAGGCGGGUCGCUGGGCCGACACUGACGCUGAGGCGCGAAAGCCAGGGGAGCGAACGGG